GCCUUCUUAUUNGUGGAAUUGGCAGACACACAGGACUUAAAAUCCUGCGGUAGGUGACUACCGUGCCGGUUCAAGUCCGGCCCUCGGCACCA
rnacentral:tRNA from 1 species